rnacentral:rRNA from 1 species
GUGGAUCAGUGGCGAACGGGUGAGUAACACGUGAGCAACCUGCCCCGGACUCUGGGAUAAGCGCUGGAAACGGCGUCUAAUACUGGAUACGAGCUGCGAAGGCAUCUUCAGCAGCUGGAAAGAUUUUCGGUCCGGGAUGGGCUCGCGGCCUAUCAGCUUGUUGGUGAGGUAAUGGCUCACCAAGGCGUCGACGGGUAGCCGGCCUGAGAGGGUGACCGGCCACACUGGGACUGAGACACGGCCCAGACUCCUACGGGAGGCAGCAGUGGGGAAUAUUGCACAAUGGGCGGAAGCCUGAUGCAGCAACGCCGCGUGAGGGAUGACGGCCUUCGGGUUGUAAACCUCUUUUAGCAGGGAAGAAGCGAAAGUGACGGUACCUGCAGAAAAAGCGCCGGCUAACUACGUGCCAGCAGCCGCGGUAAUACGUAGGGCGCAAGCGUUAUCCGGAAUUAUUGGGCGUAAAGAGCUCGUAGGCGGUCUGUCGCGUCUGCUGUGAAAUCCCGAGGCUCAACCUCGGGUCUGCAGUGGGUACGGGCAGACUAGAGUGCGGUAGGGGAGAUGGAAUUCCUGGUGUAGCGGUGGAAUGCGCAGAUAUCAGGAGGAACACCGAUGGCGAAGGCAGAUCUCUGGGCCGUUACUGACGCUGAGGAGCGAAAGGGUGGGGAGCAAACAGGCUUAGAUACCCUGGUAGUCCACCCCGUAAACGUUGGGAACUAGUUGUGGGGACCAUUCCACGGUUUCCGUGACGCAGCUAACGCAUUAAGUUCCCCGCCUGGGGAGUACGGCCGCAAGGCUAAA